rnacentral:snRNA from 1 species
GAAUGUGAGGGCGAUCUGGCUGCGACAUCUGUCACCCCACUGAUCGCCAGGGUUGAUUCAGCUGAUUUGGCUGGCUAGGCGGGUGUCUCCUUCCUCCCUCACCUCCCCAUGUACAUCCCUCCAGAAGCUGCACACUCGGUUGGAGAGGUGACGUUCCCUGCUAAGAGGAAGACCGGUCUUCGGUCAAGGGUGUAAGAGUAGCUGUGUUCGCCUGCUAGAACCUCCAAACAAGCUCUCAAGAAAUAAUGUACAGCCGCAGUCUUCGGAUUAGUUUUGUCUUGUAUGCCUUUCUUUAGCUCCCCAGAUACCUAAACGCCACCUCCACGUGUGAUCCUUGUCUUCUUCG